AUGCACGCUGGCGGCGUGCCUAAUACAUGCAAGUCGCGCGAACGGACGAGAAGCUUGCUUCUCUGAUGUUAGCGGCGGACGGGUGAGUAACACGUGGAUAACCUACCUAUAAGACUGGGAUAACUUCGGGAAACCGGAGCUAAUACCGGAUAAUAUUUUGAACCGCAUGGUUCAAAAGUGAAAGACGGUCUUGCUGUCACUUAUAGAUGGAUCCGCGCUGCAUUAGCUAGUUGGUAAGGUAACGGCUUACCAAGGCAACGAUGCAUAGCCGACCUGAGAGGGUGAUCGGCCACACUGGAACUGAGACACGGUCCAGACUCCUACGGGAGGCAGCAGUAGGGAAUCUUCCGCAAUGGGCGAAAGCCUGACGGAGCGACGCCGCGUGAGUGAUGAAGGUCUUCGGAUCGUAAAACUCUGUUAUUAGGGAAGAACAUAUGUGUAAGUAACUGUGCACAUCUUGACGGUACCUAAUCAGAAAGCCACGGCUAACUACGUG
rnacentral:rRNA from 1 species